UACAGAGGGGGCAAGCGUUAUUCGGAAUUAUUGGGUGUAAAGGGUGCGCAGGCGGACUGGUUAGUCAGGGGUGAAAUCCCGUUGCUCAACAACGGACCUGCCUUUGAUACUGCCAGUCUUGAAUUAGGGAGAGGUUCGUGGAAUUCCGAGUGUAGCAGUGAAAUGUGUAGAUAUUCGGAAGAACACCAGUGGCGAAGGCAGCGAACUGGCCCUAUAUUGACGCUCAGGCACGAAAGCAUGGGGAUCAAACAGG
rnacentral:rRNA from 1 species